rnacentral:rRNA from 1 species
AUUGAACGCUGGCGGCAGGCCUAACACAUGCAAGUCGAGCGGAUGAAGGGAGCUUGCUCCUGGAUUCAGCGGCAGACGGGUGAGUAAUGCCUAGGAAUCUGCCUGGUGGUGGGGGAUAACGUCCGGAAACGGGCGCUAAUACCGCAUACGUCCUGAGGGAGAAAGUGGGGGAUCUUCGGACCUCACGCUAUCAGAUGAGCCUAGGUCGGAUUAGCUAGUUGGUGGGGUAAAGGCCUACCAAGGCGACGAUCCGUAACUGGUCUGAGAGGAUGAUCAGUCACACUGGAACUGAGACACGGUCCAGACUCCUACGGGAGGCAGCAGUGGGGAAUAUUGGACAAUGGGCGAAAGCCUGAUCCAGCCAUGCCGCGUGUGUGAAGAAGGUCUUCGGAUUGUAAAGCACUUUAAGUUGGGAGGAAGGGCAGUAAGUUAAUACCUUGCUGUUUUGACGUUACCAACAGAAUAAGCACCGGCUAACUUCGUG